CCACUAACCAAUGGUCCAAAUCCGGAUGAUAAUAGUCCUGAUCAGUAAGAAAGAAAUCACCACUAAGUACAUAGGUAGCAGCCCAAUUAGCAGCCUAAUUGCCUUCUCAGUUAAUAUGAGAUACCUGAACUUAGUAAAGAAACUCUUUCAAUAUAAAAUAUUUUGAAAAAUAUGAUAAUACCACUGAACAGCCUUCUUGCACCUAACUUGUUGACAUAC
rnacentral:lncRNA from 1 species